GUAGGCUGCAACUCGCCUACAUGAAGUCGGAAUUGCUAGUAAUCGCGGAUCAGCAUGCCGCGGUGAAUACGUUCCCGGGCCUUGUACACACCGCCCGUCACACCAUGGGAGUCGGUAACACCCGAAGCCUGUAGUCUAACCGCAAGGGGGACGCAGUCGAAGGUGGGAUUGAUGACUGGGGUGAAGUCGUAACAAGGUACC
rnacentral:rRNA from 1 species